rnacentral:rRNA from 1 species
UCGAGAAUCAUUCGCAAUGGGCGAAACCCUGACCCAGCAACGCCGCGUGAAGGAUGAAGUAUUUCGGUAUGUAAACUUCGAAAGAAUAGGAAGAAUAAAUGACGGUACUAUUUAUAAGGUCCGGCUAACUACGUGCCAGCAGCCGCGGUAAUACGUAGGGACCAAGCGUUGUUCGGAUUUACUGGGCGUAAAGGGCGCGUAGGCGGCAUGACAAGUCACUUGUGAAAUCUCUGGGCUUAACCCAGAACGGCCAAGUGAUACUGUCGCGCUAGAGUGCAGAAGGGGCAAUCGGAAUUCUUGGUGUAGCGGUGAAAUGCGUAGAUAUCAAGAGGAACACCUGAGGUGAGGACGGGUUGCUGGGCUGACACUGACGCUGAGGCGCGAAAGCCAGGGGAGCAAACGGGAUUAGAUACCCGUGUAGUCCCUGAGCGGGCUGGCAAGGCGCAU